UGUUCAGACAAAAACUGAAAGACUGGAAGUAGAUCUGAAGAGAGCAAGGGACCAGAGUUAUAUAAAGACAAUGGAAAUGUCAAAACUGUUGGCAGAAAAAGAGGAGCUGGAGUUAAAAUUCAGGAGCUUAUAAAUAAGACUCUCCAAUUGGCCAAAGAAAAAGAGGAACUCUGCGAAGAGUAUGAAGAAAAGCUGAGCA